AUACUUACCUGGCAGUGGAGAUUCUCCUGUAAUCACCAAGGCAGGGCUCCCAGGGUGAAUCUAAUCCAUUGCACUUGGGGUGUGCUGACCCCUGCAAUUUCCCGAAAUGUCAAAAACUCAACUGCAUUAUUUGUGGUAGUGAAGGACUGCAUUUGUGCUUUCCCCUA